CUUUCAUUGGGGUUGUUGAUGAUAGGUUAGCUGACUAUCCGUUAUCUUCGCAGGGAAUUGCCAGAUAGCGUAUAAAAGCAAAACACAAAUCUAUCCAUGCAAGCAUUUACCGCUGGUUUAUCCGGCGGUUUUUUUUUAUCUGUAAAUCAGGAAAAAGGUACCACGAGCGCGAUUUGGGCAAAAAUGGCGCCCUUGUGCAGCUACGCAACAAGGGGCCGGGUCGGUGCAGGACUAUCUCCGUUCAUCAAUCA
rnacentral:sRNA from 1 species